AGUGGGAAGUAUUCUGGAUACCUUGGCAAGACCCAUGGGUCUUGCGUCAUAGCCUGAGAGAUAAAUCCUACAAUGAUUUAGGGGUCUGCCAUACUUAUGAAGAUUUUAGGGACUCAAUGGUUUGGGCUAUGCAGGGAUAUCCCCUUUAAGAUGCCAAGAACCUGGACAUCCUCCACCAGAACAAUCUCACAACAUGUCAAGUUUCCAGAGAUUGCUACUGCCUUCUUAAGCAGAUUUUCAAUGACCUAAGUUCCACUGGAAGUAGACCUAACAUAACUAGGAUGAACAGGAAACCUCUGAAUGUGAAAGUGAACACUAUUAAUACUUACAUGAAGGCAACAGGCAUGAACUGGAACAACCUUGGCCAUGCUGGGACGUAUGUUCACCCUAAGCAAAGAUCAGGAAUUCAGGCAGGGCUUGGCUGAGUGACUUCUCUGUUCCACAUGGCAUUGACACGUCUCAGGGCCUCUCCAUGUGUUUUCUCGAGCAAUGUGUUUGGUCUUCUGGAAUUAUGAUUCAUGGAUUCAAGAGACCACGGUAGAAGCUUCUAAUCCUCUUAAAAAGCAAGACUGAUCAUGGGAAACUGUCCUGUCCACUAGUACAUUAUUUGACAACCAUAAGACCAAAGGACUCCUUGGACACCUAGUCAGGAGGGUGGUGAGUUGAACUGAGCAAGCUUGAGCAUCUCAAACUGAAGUGGACACUUGCGCUUUAUACAGAGUAAGGCCCAAAUUGAAUUAACCUGGAGUGAGUCUGCAACAAGCCUAGCGUCUGCAUUUCUAUAACUGAUCUCAGCUAACACUGGAGCUACUUAAAUUCCCAAUGAUUUUAGAAAACUAUUUUUUUUAAAGUGUGUGAUUUGAAGGUAAAUGAACCUAUUCCAAUUUAACUGCUUUAUUUUUGUGGUUGCAUAUAUAAUCAUAUUUAAGCAAUUUAAAAUCCAAACUCCCUUUUGGAGCUGUUUUAUUUUCUGAAGG
rnacentral:lncRNA from 1 species